AAGCCUAAGCGUAAGCCUAAGUCUAAGUCUUAGCUAAAGCCAAAGCAUAAGCAUAAGUCGAAGCCUAAGCCUAAGCCUAAGCCUACA
ensembl:ncRNA F54F11.4 ncRNA